UUUUGAAAAGUCCAAGGCAAGAUCAGGUCCCCGUGCGAUCCAAAGGGGUCCCGAGUCGACUGAAAAUAAAGUUAUCUUCUUCUUCAAAAUCCAAGACGAAAUCAAAUGAUCUUUUGCAAGCAGCCCAGACCCUUUCCAAGUUCAAUGUCGUGAAGGAUGUGGAUGCACCCACGAAAAAUAAAGUUAGGCAUCUUUCAUUAGCCUCGAAGGCGGCUACUACUGCCCCCAAGGUAACCAGCAACACUUGCAAAAGGAAGGAGCAUCUAGUUUCGCCGAACAAGGGCAGUAAUAGAGCGCCCAGCCUCGUGCCACUUUGUGAUGAGAAGACUCAUCCUUCCAUUUCGCCAAAUAGUAUUGGAGAUUUUACUAUAGCUUCCAAUCCAGUAGAGCGUGAAUCUAGCGAAGACCGCCAUUGGAACAGUCCGAACAAGAAGGCGAAGGAGUUGGGUGAUGAAUAAUACGGUACUGAUGUCUUAGAUACCAUUCUUAUUGGGGAUGAUUCCUUUGUGGAUGAGGAUACCGGCUUAACAAUGCCAUUUCCUGAAUUACCAGAACAAUCAAAUCUUCAGUAAUUAUGCGGUGAUGAUCUUGUAGAUGACAUUAUUGAGGGUUGAUUUGCAGGCGUAGAUGAUCUUGGUAUGACCGCAAGAGCUCCCAUAACCCUCUUAACGGUUCUAAGGAUCAUGUUAUGGGUGUAGCCUAUUCGGUGGAGUUAACUCCACCAAGGAAGCCAUAUUCCUCUUCUCCAGGUAAUAGAAAGCUCAUCCAACCAGUUGUGACGAAUGAAGUUAUGGAUGCUGCAAUUAAAGUCAUGCGCCCGAAGUCGUUCAGGCCUUCCUCAUGGUUGUUGCAGCCUGGUGCUUCAAGCAAAGAGUCGCAUGGGACUAUUUGUCGUAUCAAACAAACUUUUAUUAUUGUGAUGUGGUGUAGAUUGUGAGAGUGGAUUAAAGAGUUAUUUGUAUAUUCCUCGAAAAACUUUAUGAACUUGAAGGAAAGCAUCAGUUUGACUCUUACGGAAAUACGGAGAGAGAAUAUCAUUGGUACUUCUAUUUUGGAGGAUCUUGUUGAAGCUUUCUUUAAGACGUAUGCAGAGUAUGAUGCUUUAAGAUCAUCCAAGAUGACUAAAUAAUCCCACAAAGUGUCACUCUCUGAUGCACAAAAAUGCUUCAAUGAUGCGAAGCGGGAAUAUGGGAAGGCAAAUGAGUCCGCUGAGAAACUUCAUGUGGCUCUUGUGAAUAUCAAACACAGUUAGUAUCCUUGACCUCUAAAAAUAAGAAGAACAUCGCACUCCUAGAUAAACAACAAGAGAAGUUGUCCAAAAGUAAAAGGAAAAUCACAGUUACCGAAGGCGAGGUUCAUACCAUUGAGGCGAAUGUCCCGUUGUCUGAUGAUGAAGCAGAAAAAUUGUCCCUCCUGAAAGAUGUAGUUAAGACGAGUCUCCAGCAAAUCCUUAGCUCCAAAACUUUUCAAUAGUUAUAGAUUCUCCUUUUUCACUUAGGAUUCCUGUUUAUUUUAAGACGAAUAUCAUGUAUUGAUAUUUCUUUUCUUAGAGCAAUAAAAGUAUUUACUUUUUAUU